GCCACGAUGGGACAAUCUGGUACUCCGACAGACUGGAAAUCUGUUUUGCUUUGCAUAUCCCGGUUCAAAUCCGGGUCGUGGCGCCA
rnacentral:tRNA from 1 species